rnacentral:rRNA from 1 species
CCUACGGGAUGCACCAGUGGGGAAUCUUGGACAAUGGGCGAAAGCCCGAUCCAGCAAUAUCGCGUGAGUGAAGAAGGGCAAUGCCGCUUGUAAAGCUCUUUCGUCGGGUGCGCGAUCAUGACAGGACUCGAGGAAGAAGCCCCGGCUAACUUCGUGCCAGCAGCCGCGGUAAUACGAAGGGGGCUAGCGUUGCUCGGAAUGACUGGGCGUAAGGGCGCGUAGGCGGUUUAUGCAGUCAGAUGUGAAAUCCCCGGGCUCAACCUGGGAACUGCAUUUGAGACGCUUAGACUAGAGGUCGAGAGAGGGUUGUGGAAUUCCCAGUGUAGAGGUGAAAUUCGUAGAUAUUGGGAAGAACACCGGUGGCGAAGGCGGCAACCUGGCUCGAUACUGACGCUGAGGCGCGAAAGCGUGGGGAGCAAGCAGGAUUAGAUACCCCUGUAGUC